UCCAUCGUACCUCAGGGGUUAGAGGGCCCGCCUUGCGGGUGGUCGAUGGUUCGAGUCCUUCCUUUGGAC
rnacentral:tRNA from 1 species